AAAAGUUACCAGCAAGGGUUGUCGAGUUAGGGAGACAUGUGUGUGACAACUCCUGUUGGAGCCUAAUAGGAAUCAUUCGCCAUUUGGGAGAAACCCUACCAUGAAGUCAUAGACCUUAUUUGACCACCUAGAGAAACCACUACAGCCACAGUCAAGUCAUCAUGGGAGUAUGUCUAAUUGGGAGCAAGCUAUGGGAGCGUUCCAGCUCAGUUUUCGUCUUGGCACCUGGGCCUACAGGAGCCAUGGGGUCGCACCAUCCUGGUGCAUCAUUUUCUAGGAUGCAACCGCAACCUCGUUUGGGAACAUUUAGUGAGGUGUUUUAGUAACUAUUGGUUUUUUUUUUAUAUUUCAGACUAUCUGUUAAAUACACUAUAUUUUUUUUCCAGAUUUAGUUUACCUCUGGUUUUUUUUUAAUAUGACAUAUUUGUAUAUUAGAUUAUUUGGUUCCCAAACUUUGUAUCUACGGUAACUUCUUGUGCACAGGAAUAAGCCUAGAGAAAAUUAGGUUUUUAAUACUUUAUUAUUGUUUUGAUAUUGGUUUAUGUAAUUCGGGUAAAUUUAUUUUUUUAAUAUUACUAGCUUGUUUCCCAAAUAUUUUACUGUUAUUCGCUUUAUUCCAUUUGUUCAGUUAAUUUAGGUCAUCGUCGGUAUUUAUCUCAACUUCAUUUCUACUUUAGUCAAUUGUAUAUUUAACUUUAUUUAUUCAUUAUUGUAUUUUCCCUUAGUGAGGCUUGGGCCUAUUUAUUUGUAGUAUUUUCAUCUUUGUCAGUUUCCUUUAGUUGUACGUAGCAGGCGUACUAUAACCAUUUGGUAGAAGACUUAUGUAAUUUUGUACCCUAUAUGUUAGUGAGAGGUACUUAUACCUGUAAUUUUGUAACAGAUAACAUUAUUGUUGUUAUCUUAGAGAUAACUUUUUGUAUAACUUAUGUCAGUUUAGAGUCACAUGAUAUAUGCUUGUCUAACUCAGAGAUUGUUAAAAAUCUAGUAGUUAUUUUUAAUAAAUAUGUAUUUAUUUUGUA